rnacentral:rRNA from 1 species
GAUGAACGCUGGCGGCGUGCUUAACACAUGCAAGUCGAACGGAAAGGCUCCUUCUUGCACGGGUACUCGAGUGGCGAACGGGUGAGUAACACGUGGGUGAUCGGCCCUGCACUUCGGGAUAAGCCUGGGAAACUGGGUCUAAUACCGGAUAGGAGCAUCGAUUAGUGUCGGUGGUGGACAGUUUGUUCGGUGUGGGAUCAACUCGCGGCCUAUCAGCUGGUUGGUUGGGUAAUGGCCAACCAAGGCGUCGACGGAUAGCCCGCCUGAGAGGGUGGACGCGCACAUUACGACUGAGGGACGGAGCAGAGGCGAACGGGGGACAGCGGGGGGGAAUAUUACACAGCGGGCGCGAGCGUAGGACGGAGGCGUCGGGUGUGUGAUGACCGCUUGUGGGGUGUGAACUGCUUUCGCUAAAGACGAAGGGAAAGUGACGGUACCGGAAUAAGAAGCACCGGCUAACUACGUG